GUGGGGAAUAUUGGACAAUGGGGGCAACCCUGAUCCAGCAAUUCUGUGUGCAUGAAGAAGGUUUUCGGAUUGUAAAGUGCUUUCAGCAGGGAAGAAGAAAGUGACGGUACCUGCAGAAGAAGCGACGGCUAAAUACGUGCCAGCAGCCGCGGUAAUACGUAUGUCGCAAGCGUUAUCCGGAAUUAUUGGGCAUAAAGGGCAUCUAGGCGGCCCUGUAAGUCUAGGGUGAAAACCUGCGGCUCAACCGCAGGCCUGCCCCGGAAACUACAGGGCUAGAGUAUCGGAGAGGUGGACGGAACUGCACGAGUAGAGGUGAAAUUCGUAGAUAUGUGCAGGAAUGCCGAUGAUGAAGAUAGUUCACUGGACGGUAACUGACGCUGAAGUGCGAAAGCUAGGGGAGCAAACAGGAUUAGAAACCCGGGUAGUCC
rnacentral:rRNA from 1 species